rnacentral:tRNA from 1 species
UGUAGCUCAGUGGUAGAGCAGCUGUUUCAUAAACACUAGGUCAGAGGUUCGAAUCCUCUCGGGAGUGCCA